CCUACGGGUGACAGCAGUGAGGAAUAUUGGUCAAUGGACGAAAGUCUGAACCAGCCAAGUCGCGUGAGGGAUGACUGCCCUAUGGAUUGUAAACCUCUUUUAUCUGGGAACAAAAUGUUCCACGUGUGGGACUUUGCGAGUACCUUAUGAAAAAGGAUCGGCUAACUCCGUGCCAGCAGCCGCGGUAAUACGGAGGAUCCGAGCGUUAUCCGGAUUUAUUGGGUGUAAAGGGGGCGUAGGUGGAUUGUUAAGUCAGGUGGGAAAGUUUGCGGCUCAACCGUAACAUUGCAGUUGAAACUGGCAGUCUUGAGUAAAGGAGAGGUGUGCGGAAUGCGUGGUGUAGCGGUGAAAUGCUUAGAUAUCACGAAGAACUCCGAUUGCGAAGGCAGUUUACUGGACUUCAACUGACACUGAUGCACGAAAGUGUGGGUAUCGAACAGGAUUAGAUACCCGUGUAGUC
rnacentral:rRNA from 1 species